rnacentral:rRNA from 1 species
UACGUAGGCAGCAAGCGUUGUUCGGAGUUACUGGGCGUAAAGAGUGCGUAGGCGGUGCCCCAAGUCUGUUGUGAAAUCUCCCGGCUUAACUGGGAGGGUGCGGUGGAAACUGGGGUGCUUGAGUGUGGGAGAGGUAAGCGGAAUUCCUGGUGUAGCGGUGAAAUGCGUAGAUAUCAGGAGGAACACCGGUGGUGUAGACGGCUUACUGGACCACGACUGACGCUGAGGCACGAAAGCGUGGGGAGCGAACAGG